rnacentral:rRNA from 1 species
UGCGUAGGCGGCGCGGUAAGUCGGGUGUGAAAUCUCGGAGCUUAACUCCGAAACUGCAUUCGAUACUGCCGUGCUUGAGGACUGGAGAGGAGACUGGAAUUUACGGUGUAGCGGUGAAAUGCGUAGAUAUCGUAAGGAAGACCAGUGGCGAAGGCGGGUCUCUGGACAGUUCCUGACGCUGAGGCACGAAGGCCAGGGAAGGCAAACG